rnacentral:tRNA from 1 species
GUUAUUAUAGUUUAAAACAAAACAUUACAUUUUCAUUGUAAAGAUAAGAAAAACUUUCUUUAAUAAUA